AUGAAAACUUCUCUGGGCUUAGUGACUGUGGUACUUUUAGUGCUUGGACUAACCCAUGGAGACUCAGUGACCCAGGUGGAAAGCCAAGUGACUCUGUCAGAAGAUGCUUACCUGAUUUUGAAUUGUACUUUUUCAGCCACAGGGUACCCCACUCUUUUCUGGUAUGUUCAGUAUCCUGGAGAAAGUCUACAGCUUCUCCUGAAAGCCACAAGGGCCAAUGAGAAAGGAAGCAACAAAGGUUUUGAAGCCACAUACCGCAAAGAACAAAAUUCCUUCCACUUGGAGAAAGCAUCAGUCCACGAGUCAGAUUCGGCAAUGUACUACUGUGUUCUGGGAGACACAGUGACAGAAACUGCAGGGGGAGCUGAGCAUAAACUUGGAAACCUGAACCUACUGUGA